rnacentral:rRNA from 1 species
AAGCUCGUAGUUGAAUUUCGGGGUUAGUAGGUUGGUCAUGCCUCUGGUAUGUACUGGUCUCACUGAUUCCUCCUUCCUGAUGAACCGUAAUGCCAUUAAUUUGGUGUUGCGGGGAAUUUGGACUGUUACUUUGAGAAAAUUAGAGUGUUUAAAGCAAGCUAACGCCUGAAUACAUUAGCAUGGAAUAAUGAAAUAGGACGUUCGAUCUUAUUUUGUUGGUUUCUAGGAUUGACGUAAUGAUUAAUAGGGAUAGUUGGGGGCAUUAGUAUUCAAUUGUCAGAGGUGAAAUUCUUGGAUUUAUUGAAGACUAACUACUGCGAAAGCAUUUGCCAAGGAUGUUUUCAUUAAUCAAGAACGAAAGUUAGGGGAUCGAAGACGAUCAGAUACCGUCGUAGUCUUAACCAUAAACUAUGCCGACUAGGGAUCGGAUAAUGUUAAUUUUUUAAUGACUCAUUCGGCGCCUUACGGGAAACCAAAGUGUUUGGGUUCCGGGGGGAGUAUGGUCGCAAGGCUGAAACUUAAAGGAAUUGACGGAAGGGCACCACCAGGGGUGGAGCCUGCGGCUUAAUUUGACUCAACACGGGGAAACUCACCAGGUCCAGACAUAGUAAGGAUUGACAGAUUGAGAGCUCUUUCUUGAUUCUAUGGGUG